GUGUAAUGAUGAAAUCCAUGCGUGUCAGCUGACUCUGUAAACCCCUGAUGUAUCUUGCUCUGGUUGGCGUUCUGCUAACUUGAGUCUGCAGACAACAGUGGCCCAGAGGCAUGAUCAUACAUUACUACUUCUGAAUAC
rnacentral:snoRNA from 1 species